UACGUAGGGGGCGAGCGUUGUCCGGAUUUAUUGGGCGUAAAGAGCGUGUAGGCGGCCAGGUAGGUCUGCUGUGAAAACUCGAGGCUCAACCUCGAGACGUCGGCGGAAACCAUCUGGCUAGAGUCCGGAAGAGGAGAGUGGAAUUCCUGGUGUAGCGGUGAAAUGCGCAGAUAUCAGGAAGAACACCCGUGGCGAAGGCGGCCCGCUGGGCAGAGACUGACGCUGAGGCGCGACAGCGUGGGGAGCAAACAGG
rnacentral:rRNA from 1 species